rnacentral:tRNA from 1 species
GCGUGGGAAAUAACUAUGGCUGUAAACCGUAAAAUGGGUAAUUAAAACCCCCAACGUA